AGAGUUUGAUCCUGGCUCAGGACGAACGCUGGCGGCACGCUUAACACAUGCAAGUCGAACGGACGAGGGAGAGCUUGCUCUCCUGAGUUAGUGGCGGACGGGUGAGUAACACGUGAGCAACCUGCCUUUAAGAGUGGGAUAACGGUCGGAAACGACCGCUAAUACCGCAUAAUAUACUUGUAUCGCAUGGUAUGGGUAUCAAAGAUUUAUCGCUUAAAGAUGGGCUCGCGUCUGAUUAGCUGGUUGGUGAGGUAACGGCUCACCAAGGCGACGAUCAGUAGCCGUACUGAGAGGUAGAACGGCCACAUUGGGACUGAGACACGGCCCAGACUCCUACGGGAGGCAGCAGUGGGGAAUAUUGCACAAUGGAGGAAACUCUGAUGCAGCGAUGCCGCGUGAGGGAAGAAGGUUUUCGGAUUGUAAACCUCUGUCUUAAGGGACGAUAAUGACGGUACCUUAGGAGGAAGCUCCGGCUAACUACGUGCCAGCAGCCGCGGU
rnacentral:rRNA from 1 species